rnacentral:lncRNA from 10 species
CCGCAAAAAGAUAUGUUGAAAUCCUACCUGCACCUGUGAAUCUGACCUUUUUGGAAACUGAUCAUUGUAGAUGUAAUCAAAUUAAGAGGAGGUCAUACAGGAAGUAGGAUGGGCUUAUAAUCAAUCCAGUAUAACUGAUAUCCUUCUAAAAGGAGAAGAGACACAGAAAUACAGAGAAGUAGGCAGAGGUAAAGGUUGGAACGAUGCGGCUGUAAGCCAAAGAAUGCCAGAUUGCCAGCAAACCACCAGCAUCUAGGAGAUGGGUCAGGAACAGUUCAACCUUCUGAGCAAUCGAGAAGGAGCCAACCCUGUACAAAUCUUGAUUUAGGACUCUUGGCUUCCAGAACUGUGAGAUAAUAUUUUUCUGUUGUUUUAAGACACUCAGUUUAUGGUAUCUUGCUAUGGCAGCCCUACAAAAUGGAUAUAUGUGGGAAUGAAUGGCUAUUUUUCUUUCUAUUUGAAGUUAAAAGACGAAGCAAUCGGAGUUUUAAAGAGAGAAACAAUUCCUGGGAUAGCAUUAGGAUCAUUGGAUAACUGUGUCUUGCUCUUUGCUUCUGACGGGCGUCCUCAUUUUGUACGUGUGCACACCCAUUUUACUAAUGAGUUUCGAGUUGAUCUUCAGCGUGGGGCUCCACAGACAAUGUGACAUAUCUCCCAAGCCAGGCACUGGGGGAAGUGGUCCAGCCGCGGAAUGCCAUCGUCAUCUGAUCACCCUGCGCUUCUGAGUCAGUGGGCCUGGCAGAACCAAGGGCACUUCAGAGAGUCUUAUUGGAACAGUAAGUUUCCAUGUGUCCAGAUGACAUCACCCUCAGCAGGCCUGAAGGGAAGGAAUGGGCCAGAGAGUAGCCCGCAAAAAGAUUUGUUUGAUUUCCAACAGGAGCCCCAAAAUUGGGCAUUUAUUUCAGGGCUUAAAAAAUAAUAGCAUUGAAAUAAUAAGUAGGUGGUAGGAUGACAAUUUUAGAGACCCUGAUGCCUUUUUUGUGAAUAACUUUAAGAGUGCUGUCCUUUUGUUUUUCUUGGCUGCCAAUAUUAGCAUAGGAAGUACACAAAACUGGAGGGGGACUCCAUCUUGCUGUGAAUAUAGAAUUGUGGACAGGUAUUUGUUGGGGAAAGCUGUUGAUGCCCAAAGAGAGGAGCCUAGAAAUAAAAGUCACAUUUCUCUUUAAAGCUUUUCCUCUGCCUAUGAGCCAGCUCUCCUCAUUCAGACAACCAGGUGGUUCUCAGAGAGAUAACUAUGGCUGCAUCUAAAGCUCUGGCAUGUUUCGUUGAAUAUACUUUUUCCAGUGCCUCUCCUUUCCCUUUUAUGCCCAUUUCAAAGCUUUCCUCAUUUAUACAUCAAAUCUUCAUAGCCUUCACAGUCAUACUUCUACACAAUACAGAAUUUGCUUAAUACAUAUUUUCCCCAAAAAACACUUUUUUAAAAUGAAAAUUUUCAUUGAGGUUAUGAGAUAUACCCUGAAAGGAAAUACAAUAUAGGUCAUGGUUGAAUAAAUUUUUGCAAACUAAACACACAGCAUUAAUUAGCACCCAUGUUAAGAUACAAAAUACUAACAGCACCUUCGAAGCCCUUUUGUUCCCCUCCCAGUCAUUAACUCCAGCCUGUAUCCUGACUUCACUACCAUGGAUUGAUUCUGCUUGCUUUUGAACUUCACAUGAGUGGAAUCCUAUCUAGCACAUGUACUCUGUUGCGCCUGGCU